rnacentral:rRNA from 1 species
CAGCAGCCGCGGGAAUACGUAGGUCCCGAGCGUUGUCCGGAUUUAUUGGGCGUAAAGGGAGCGCAGGCGGUUUAGUAAGUCUGAAGUUAAAGGCAUUGGCUUAACCAUAGUACGCUUUGGAAACUGUUUAACUUGAGUGCAAGAGGGGAGAGUGGAAUUCCAUGUGUAGCGGUGAAAUGCGUAGAUAUAUGGAGGAACACCGGUGGCGAAAGCGGCUCUCUGGCUUGUAACUGACGCUGAGGCUCGAAAGCGUGGGGAGCAAACAGGAUUAGAUACCCCCGUAGUCCCUGUCUCUUAUACA